ACGUUAGGAGGGAGCGAUGCAGCCAGUGCGAGUCUCGUCAGGUUCAGGAGCAGCCGAAGAGUCGCUUCCGAGGUGUCCUAGAUGGUGCCCGGAGGUCUGCGCCUCGGCGCAUCUGCACUCCUGCGAGGCUCUUGUCAACGGCAGUGACCGGUGCCCGAGAGCAGUCGGGGAGGUUCCUUGCCGCUCUUCGGAGCAGGCAAGAGCGUAAAGCCCUUCUGCGACGGACAUCGGCGACUGAGGAGACGAUCACUCUUGAUCAACACGACGCAGGCCGCUCCCUCGGGAGGGGCUGGCCUCUCUCUCGGACGUACGGUCUCGCGAUCCAGGACUGCUUGCCAGUGCUGGGACGCGUGCGCCCUCGACCGGGGGAGCAAGGUGCAACUGCGUCCGGCGGUUGGCAAAACGUGGCUCCAUCCGU
rnacentral:sRNA from 1 species